ACGUACCUCCUGCGGGAGGCAGCAGUGGGGAAUUUUGGACAAUGGGCGAAAGCCUGAUCCAGCAAUGCCGCGUGAGUGAAGAAGGCCUUCGGGUUGUAAAGCUCUUUUGUCAGGGAAGAAACGGUGAAAGCUAAUAUCUUUUGCUAAUGACGGUACCUGAAGAAUAAGCACCGGCUAACUACGUGCCAGCAGCCGCGGUAAUACGUAGGGUGCAAGCGUUAAUCGGAAUUACUGGGCGUAAAGCGUGCGCAGGCGGUUUUGUAAGUCUGAUGUGAAAUCCCCGGGCUCAACCUGGGAAUUGCAUUGGAGACUGCAAGGCUAGAAUCUGGCAGAGGGGGGUAGAAUUCCACGUGUAGCAGUGAAAUGCGUAGAUAUGUGGAGGAACACCGAUGGCGAAGGCAGCCCCCUGGGUCAAGAUUGACGCUCAUGCACGAAAGCGUGGGGAGCAAACAGGAUUAGAAACCCCAGUAGUCCCAUGAU
rnacentral:rRNA from 1 species